GCGGCUGUAGUUCAAUGGUAGAACGCUAGCCUUCCAAGCUAGACACGAGGGUUCGAUUCCCUCCAGCCGCACCG
rnacentral:tRNA from 1 species